rnacentral:rRNA from 1 species
ACGAGGGGAGCUAGCGUUAUUCGGAAUUACUGGGCGUAAAGCGCACGUAGGCGGCUUUGUAAGUUAGAGGUGAAAGCCCGGGGCUCAACUCCGGAAUUGCCUUUAAGACUGCAUCGCUUGAAUCCAGGAGAGGUAAGUGGAAUUCCGAGUGUAGAGGUGAAAUUCGUAGAUAUUCGGAAGAACACCAGUGGCGAAGGCGACUUACUGGACACAUAUUGACGCUGAGGUGCGAAAGCGUGGGGAGCAAACAGGA